GGGGCCGUACAUGGUUUCGACGGGGAUACGGAGGGGUAGAGAAGCGAGCGGCAGCCCUGGACUGCCUCAUCAACGGGAACUUAAAAUGAACUGACAACACUAACACUGUUGCUUUCGCCGCUUAAUGGCGAUCGUCGACCCUGAGCCUCCUGCGGCGCAGGCCAUCGGCGUCAUAAAGGCAGGGAACCAGCCAUCUUAAGCUUUGCGGGUGGUGGGAUUUUAUGAAGCUACUGAAGGGAGAAUCCUGUCUGCGGGAGUCUCCUGGAGGGAAAGUCAAAACACAGACUGCGCUCGGAGAAGCUCUGGUCGUCUGAUCUUCGGACAGGGGUUCGACUCCCCUCGGCUCCACCA
rnacentral:tmRNA from 1 species